AGGUUAAUAUCUCCGCGAUUUUUCGUCAAACAGCAGAAGGGACAUCCAUCAGCCAACUCGUCACACUUGAGGACAGAAGGAGAAGCUGUUGUCCAGGCGUGAUCGCUCCCUGCUCAAUAACACGGCGAGGGGCGACAUCUCUUCAGCGCGUCUUCGGAUGAUGCAGUGAGGCGGUGAGGUGACGGUGACGGUGACGGCGAGACGCACAGCCGGCCAGUGAGGAUGCGACGACCCCUGCCCCUGGUGCUGGUGCUGGCGCUGCUGGCGACGUUGU